rnacentral:rRNA from 1 species
GUGACUGCGUACCUUUUGUAUAAUGGGUCAGCGACUUAUAUUCUGUAGCAAGGUUAACCGAAUAGGGGAGCCGGAGGGAAACCGAGUCUUAACCGGGCGUUAAGUUGCAGGGUAUAGACCCGAAACCCGGUGAUCUAGCCAUGGGCAGGUUGAAGGUUGGGUAACACUAACUGGAGGACCGAACCGACUAAUGUUGAAAAAUUAGCGGAUGACCUGUGGCUGGGGGUGAAAGGCCAAUCAAACCGGGAGAUAGCUGGUUCUCCCCGAAAGCUAUUUAGGUAGCGCCUCGUGAAUUCAUCUCCGGGGGUAGAGCACUGUUUCGGCUAGGGGGCCAUCCCGGCUUACCAACCCGAUGCAAACUGCGAAUACCGGAGAAUGUUAUCACGGGAGACACACGGCGGGUGCUAACGUCCGUCGUGAAGAGGGAAACAACCCAGACCGCCAGCUAAGGUCCCAAAGUCAUGGUUAAGUGGGAAACGAUGUGGGAAGGCCCAGACAGCCAGGAUGUUGGCUUAGAAGCAGCCAUCAUUUAAAGAAAGCGUAAUAGCUCACUGGUCGAGUCGGCCUGCGCGGAAGAUGUAACGGGGCUAAACCAUGCACCGAAGCUGCGGCAGCGACGCUGAUGCGUUGUUGGGUAGGGGAGCGUUCUGUAAGCCUGCGAAGGUGGCCUGUGAGGGUUGCUGGAGGUAUCAGAAGUGCGAAUGCUGACAUAAGUAACGAUAAAGCGGGUGAAAAGCCCGCUCGCCGGAAGACCAAGGGUUCCUGUCCAACGUUAAUCGGGGCAGGGUGAGUCGACCCCUAAGGCGAGGCCGAAAGGCGUAGUCGAUGGGAAACGGGUUAAUAUUCCCGUACUUGGUGUUACUGCGAAGGGGGGACGGAGAAGGCUAUGUUGGCCGGGCGACGGUUGUCCCGGUUUAAGCGUGUAGGUGUGUGUUCCAGGUAAAUCCGGUUCACUUUAACACUGAGGCGUGAUGACGAGGCACUACGGUGCUGAAGCAACAAAUGCCCUGCUUCCAGGAAAAGCCUCUAAGCAUCAGGUAACAUCAAAUCGUACCCCAAACCGACACAGGUGGUCAGGUAGAGAAUACCAAGGCGCUUGAGAGAACUCGGGUGAAGGAACUAGGCAAAAUGGUGCCGUAACUUCGGGAGAAGGCACGCUGACACGUAGGUGAAGUGAUUUACUCAUGGAGCUGAAGUCAGUCGAAGAUACCAGCUGGCUGCAACUGUUUAUUAAAAACACAGCACUGUGCAAACACGAAAGUGGACGUAUACGGUGUGACGCCUGCCCGGUGCCGGAAGGUUAAUUGAUGGGGUCAGCGCAAGCGAAGCUCCUGAUCGAAGCCCCGGUAAACGGCGGCCGUAACUAUAACGGUCCUAAGGUAGCGAAAUUCCUUGUCGGGUAAGUUCCGACCUGCACGAAUGGCGUAAUGAUGGCCAGGCUGUCUCCACCCGAGACUCAGUGAAAUUGAACUCGCUGUGAAGAUGCAGUGUACCCGCGGCAAGACGGAAAGACCCCGUGAACCUUUACUAUAGCUUGACACUGAACAUUGAGCCUUGAUGUGUAGGAUAGGUGGGAGGCUUUGAAGUGUGGACGCCAGUCUGCAUGGAGCCGGCCUUGAAAUACCACCCUUUAAUGUUUGAUGUUCUAACGUGGACCCGUGAUCCGGGUUGCGGACAGUGUCUGGUGGGUAGUUUGACUGGGGCGGUCUCCUCCUAAAGAGUAACGGAGGAGCACGAAGGUUGGCUAAUCCUGGUCGGACAUCAGGAGGUUAGUGCAAUGGCAUAAGCCAGCUUGACUGCGAGCGUGACGGCGCGAGCAGGUGCGAAAGCAGGUCAUAGUGAUCCGGUGGUUCUGAAUGGAAGGGCCAUCGCUCAACGGAUAAAAGGUACUCCGGGGAUAACAGGCUGAUACCGCCCAAGAGUUCAUAUCGACGGCGGUGUUUGGCACCUCGAUGUCGGCUCAUCACAUCCUGGGGCUGAAGUAGGUCCCAAGGGUAUGGCUGUUCGCCAUUUAAAGUGGUACGCGAGCUGGGUUUAGAACGUCGUGAGACAGUUCGGUCCCUAUCUGCCGUGGGCGCUGGAGAACUGAGGGGGGCUGCUCCUAGUACGAGAGGACCGGAGUGGACGCAUCACUGGUGUUCGGGUUGUCAUGCCAAUGGCACUGCCCGGUAGCUAAAUGCGGAAGAGAUAAGUGCUGAAAGCAUCUAAGCACGAAACUUGCCCCGAGAUGAGUUC